rnacentral:rRNA from 1 species
AGCUCCAAUAGCGUAUAUUAAAGUUGCUGCAGUUAAAAAGCUCGUAGUUGCAUUUCCGAGGCAAGGGAUUAGUCCGACCUUUGGUGGGUAUUUAAUCCUCUUGCCUCGUCCUUGAGUGGUGCUUCUUGGUAUUAAGUUAUCGAGGAGAUAGCCGCUCAUCGUUUACUGUGAGAAAAUUAGAGUGUUCAAAGCAGGCUUAUGCCGUUGAAUAUAUUAGCAUGGAAUAAUAAGAUAGGACCGCGGUACUAUUUUGUUGGUUUGAGAACCAAGGUAAUGAUGAAUAGGGACAGUUGGGAGUAUUCGUAUUCAGUUGUCAGAGGUGAAAUUCUUAGAUUUACGGAAGACGAACUACUGCGAAAGCAUUUACCAAGGAUGUUUUCA